GUCGAGGGGCAGCAUGGUCUUAGCUCCCUUAGACUGAUGGCGACCGGCGCACGGGUGAGUAACACGUAUCCAACCUGCCGUCUACUCUUGGACAGCCUUCUGAAAGGAAGAUUAAUACAAGAUGGCAUCAUGAGUCCGCAUGUUCACAUGAUUAAAGGUAUUCCGGUAGACGAUGGGGAUGCGUUCCAUUAGAUAGUAGGCGGGGUAACGGCCCACCUAGUCUUCGAUGGAUAGGGGUUCUGAGAGGAAGGUCCCCCACAUUGGAACUGAGACACGGUCCAAACUCCUACGGGAGGCAGCAGUGAGGAAUAUUGGUCAAUGGGCGAGAGCCUGAACCAGCCAAGUAGCGUGAAGGAUGACUGCCCUAUGGGUUGUAAACUUCUUUUAUAAAGGAAUAAAGUCGGGUAUGCAUACCCGUUUGCAUGUACUUUAUGAAUAAGGAUCGGCUAACUCCGUGCCAGCAGCCGCGGUAAUACGGAGGAUCCGAGCGUUAUCCGGAUUUAUUGGGUUUAAAGGGAGCGUAGAUGGAUGUUUAAGUCAGUUGUGAAAGUUUGCGGCUCAACCGUAAAAUUGCAGUUGAUACUGGAUAUCUUGAGUGCAGUUGAGGCAGGCGGAAUUCGUGGUGUAGCGGUGAAAUGCUUAGAUAUCACGAAGAACUCCGAUUGCGAAGGCAGCCUGCUAAGCUGCAACUGACAUUGAGGCUCGAAAGUGUGGGUAUCAAACAGGAUUAGAUACCCUGGUAGUCCACACGGUAAACGAUGAAUACUCGCUGUUUGCGAUAUACUGCAAGCGGCCAAGCGAAAGCGUUAAGUAUUCCACCUGGGGAGUACGCCGGCAACGGUGAAACUCAAAGGAAUUGACGGGGGCCCGCACAAGCGGAGGAACAUGUGGUUUAAUUCGAUGAUACGCGAGGAACCUUACCCGGGCUUAAAUUGCAGAUGAAUUACGGUGAAAGCCGUAAGCCGCAAGGCAUCUGUGAAGGUGCUGCAUGGUUGUCGUCAGCUCGUGCCGUGAGGUGUCGGCUUAAGUGCCAUAACGAGCGCAACCCUUGUUGUCAGUUACUAACAGGUUCCGCUGAGGACUCUGACAAGACUGCCAUCGUAAGAUGUGAGGAAGGUGGGGAUGACGUCAAAUCAGCACGGCCCUUACGUCCGGGGCUACACACGUGUUACAAUGGGGGGUACAGAGGGCCGCUACCACGCGAGUGGAUGCCAAUCCCCAAAACCUCUCUCAGUUCGGACUGGAGUCUGCAACCCGACUCCACGAAGCUGGAUUCGCUAGUAAUCGCGCAUCAGCCACGGCGCGGUGAAUACGUUCCCGGGCCUUGUACACACCGCCCGUCAAGCCAUGGGAGCCGGGGGUACCUGAAGUGCGUAACCGCGAGGAGCGCCCUAGGGUAAAACUGGUGACUGGG
rnacentral:rRNA from 1 species